GCUACCGUGGUGAAGUGGUAUCACACUGCCCUUCCAAGGCAGCAUCUCGGGUUCGAAUCCCGGCGGCAGCA